GAAGAAAAACGUGUGGGAGACGUUACUCUGAUGUCUGUUUAAACGUGAGAUGCUGGGUCCCCCAUGACAGAGCCGCUGCCAUGGGAUGAAACUACCAACCCCCAGCCUUUUUCUUUGGAGUAAAGGCAGAGCUACUGAUGAGCUGCUCGUCAUACUGCAGACUGACUGAAGCAGGAACCAAGACUGAUGUCAGUGUUGCUUGACUGGUGUGGAGAACUGGAGUCCACCUGCUGGGAUGUGACCAGGCACUUCUGCUCAGCCUGAGUUUGAGGAUGAAAUUUAAACUGUCAAACAUUGAAUGUA